AGUCCUACGGGACGCAGCAGUGAGGAAUAUUGGUCAAUGGGCGGGAGCCUGAACCAGCCAAGCCGCGUGAGGGAAGAAGGUACAGCGUAUCGUAAACCUCUUUUGUCAGGGAGCAACGCCGGCUACGUGUAGCCGGACUGAGAGUACCUGAAGAAAAAGCAUCGGCUAACUCCGUGCCAGCAGCCGCGGUAAUACGGAGGAUGCGAGCGUUAUCCGGAUUUAUUGGGUUUAAAGGGUGCGUAGGCGGAAUGCCAAGUCAGCGGUAAAAUCGCGGGGCUCAACCUCGCUCCGCCGUUGAAACUGGC
rnacentral:rRNA from 1 species